AUUGAACGCUGGCGGCAUGCUUUACACAUGCAAGUCGAACGGUAACGGGCCUUCGGGUGCUGACGAGUGGCGAACGGGUGCGUAAUGCAUCGGAACGUGCCCAGAGGUGGGGGAUAACGCAGCGAAAGCUGUGCUAAUACCGCAUGUGAUCUGAGGAUGAAAGCGGGGGACCAAGCAGCAAUGUUUGGCCUCGCGCCUCUGGAGCGGCCGAUGUCAGAUUAGGUAGUUGGUGGGGUAAAGGCCUACCAAGCCGACGAUCUGUAGCUGGUCUGAGAGGACGACCAGCCACACUGGGACUGAGACACGGCCCAGACUCCUACGGGAGGCAGCAGUGGGGAAUUUUGGACAAUGGGCGCAAGCCUGAUCCAGCAAUGCCGCGUGCGGGAAGAAGGCCUUCGGGUUGUAAACCGCUUUUGUACGGAACGAAAAGGCUCUGGCUAAUACCUGGGGCUGAUGACGGUACCGUAAGAAUAAGCACCGGCUAACUACGUG
rnacentral:rRNA from 1 species